GAUGAAGAACGUAGCGAAAUGCGAUAAGUAAUGCGAAUUGCAGAAUUCAGUGAGUCAUCGAAUCUUUGAACGCACAUUGCGCCCUGUGGUAUUCCGCAGGGCAUGCCUGUUCGAGCGUCAUUUCAACCCUCAAGCUCUGCUUGGUGUUGGGCCCUGCCCGCUGCGGCCGGCCCUAAAGACAGUGGCGGUGCCGCCUGGCCCUGAGCGUAGUACAUCUCUCGCUCCAGUGCCCGGUGGUAGCCUGCCAGAACCCCAACUCUCGUGGUUGACCUCGGAUCAGGUAGGGAUACCCGCUGAACUUAAGCAUAUCAAUAAGGGAGGA
rnacentral:misc_RNA from 1 species